rnacentral:rRNA from 1 species
GGGCGCAAGCCUGAUGCAGCGACGCCGCGUGAGGGAUGGAGGCCUUCGGGUUGUAAACCUCUUUUNUCGGGGAGCAAGCGAGAGUGAGUUUACCCGUUGAAUAAGCACCGGCUAACUACGUGCCAGCAGCCGCGGUAAUACGUAGGGUGCAAGCGUUAUCCGGAAUUAUUGGGCGUAAAGGGCUCGUAGGCGGUUCGUCGCGUCCGGUGUGAAAGUCCAUCGCUUAACGGUGGAUCCGCGCCGGGUACGGGCGGGCUUGAGUGCGGUAGGGGAGACUGGAAUUCCCGGUGUAACGGUGGAAUGUGUAGAUAUCGGGAAGAACACC